AAGUAUAAGUACUUUGUAACUGUACUUAAGUAGAUUUUUUUUAUGUAUCUGUACUUUACUUGAGUAUUUAUUUUUCUGGCAUUUUUUACUUUUACUCCCUACAUUUUUGCAUAAAUAUCUGUAAUUUAUACUCUUUACAUUCUCAGAAUGGGCUCGUUACUUUUUCAAACUAAACGGAUGUGACAGUGUGUAAAAUACUGUGGAAUUAGAAA